CAGAAAAUAGUUUAAAAAAUAUUAAUUUUGGAGAUUAAAGAUGGAAGUAAUUUUUCUUUUCUGA
rnacentral:tRNA from 1 species